rnacentral:rRNA from 1 species
AGUCGAGCGGCAGCACGGGUACUUGUACCUGGUGGCGAGCGGCGGACGGGUGAGUAAUGCCUAGGAAUCUGCCUGGUAGUGGGGGAUAACGCUCGGAAACGGACGCUAAUACCGCAUACGUCCUACGGGAGAAAGCAGGGGACCUUCGGGCCUUGCGCUAUCAGAUGAGCCUAGGUCGGAUUAGCUAGUUGGUGAGGUAAUGGCUCACCAAGGCGACGAUCCGUAACUGGUCUGAGAGGAUGAUCAGUCACACUGGAACUGAGACUCGGUCCAGACUCCUACGGGAGGCAGCAGUGGGGAAUAUUGGACAAUGGGCGAAAGCCUGAUCCAGCCAUGCCGCGUGUGUGAAGAAGGUCUUCGGAUUGUAAAGCACUUUAAGUUGGGAGGAAGGGCAGUUACCUAAUACGUAUUUGUUUUGACGUUACCGACAGAAUAAGCACCGGCUAACUCUGUGCCAGCAGCCGCGGUAAUACAGAGGGUGCAAGCGUUAAUCGGAAUUACUGGGCGUAAAGCGCGCGUAGGUGGUUUGUUAAGUUGGAUGUGAAAUCCCCGGGCUCAACCUGGGAACUGCAUUCAAAACUGACAAGCUAGAGUAUGGUAGAGGGUGGUGGAAUUUCCUGUGUAGCGGUGAAAUGCGUAGAUAUAGGAAGGAACACCAGUGGCGAAGGCGACCACCUGGACUGAUACUGACACUGAGGUGCGAAAGCGUGG